GGCAACUUGGCGGAGUGGUUAACGCGAUUGACUCGAAUGUCCUAGGCUUCUCUAGGUGCGAUCAAUUUCCUUCGGGAGCGCAUGUUCGAAUCAUGCAGUUGUCG
rfam:Trichosporon oleaginosus strain IBC0246 unplaced genomic scaffold CC85scaffold_15, whole genome shotgun sequence.